CUACGUGCCAGCAGCCGCGGUAAUACGGAAGGUCCAGGCGUUAUCCGGAUUUAUUGGGUUUAAAGGGAGCGUAGGCGGAUUGUUAAGUCAGCGGUUAAAGGGUGUGGCUCAACCGUACAUUGCCGUUGAAACUGGCGAUCUUGAGUGCAGACAGGGAUGCCGGAAUUCGUGGUGUAGCGGUGAAAUGCUUAGAUAUCACGAAGAACUCCGAUCGCGAAGGCAGGUGUCCGGGCUGCAACUGACGCUGAGGCUCGAAAGUGUGGGUAUCAAACAGGAUUAGAUACCCUGGUAGUCCACACAGUAAACGAUGUAUACUCGCGGUUUGCGAUAGAUUGUAAGCCGCCAAGCGAAAGCAUUAAGUAUACCACCUGGGGAGUACGCCGGCAACGGUGAAACUCAAAGGAAUUGACGGGGGCCCGCACAAGCGGAGGAACAUGUGGUUUAAUUCGAUGAUACGCGAGGAACCUUACCCGGGCUUGAACUAACGGUGACGAAUCUAGAGAUAG
rnacentral:rRNA from 1 species